UACGUAGGGUGCAAGCGUUAAUCGGAAUUACUGGGCGUAAAGCGUGCGCAGGCGGUUCGGAAAGAAAGAUGUGAAAUCCCAGAGCUUAACUUUGGAACUGCAUUUUUAACUACCGGGCUAGAGUGUGUCAGAGGGAGGUGGAAUUCCGCGUGUAGCAGUGAAAUGCGUAGAUAUGCGGAGGAACACCGAUGGCGAAGGCAGCCUCCUGGGACAACACUGACGCUCAGGCACGAAAGCGUGGGGAGCAAACAGG
rnacentral:rRNA from 1 species